GACGUCAUAAACACCAAAUUUGUUGGUGUUUAUGACGUCGAAUAUCGACGACAUAAACACCAAAUUCUUUCGUGUUUAUGACGAC
rnacentral:miRNA from 1 species